rnacentral:rRNA from 1 species
GACGAACGCUGGCGGCGUGCUUAACACAUGCAAGUCGAACGGAGUGGCGAACGGGUGAGUAAAACGCGGGUGAACCGCCUUGCACUUCGGGGUACGCUUGGGGAACAGGGUCUCUUACAGGAUAGUGCCAGAUGGGCGGGGGGCCUAUCAGCAGGUUGGUGGGGUAAUGGCGCACCAAGGAGUCGAAGGGUAGCCGGCCUGGGAGGGUGUAAGGCCACAUUGGGACUGGGAUAGGGGCCAGGCGCCUUCUGGAGGCAGCAGUGGAGAAUAGUGCACAAUGGGCGGAAGCCUGAUGCAGCGACGCCGCGUUGGGGAUGAAGGCCUUCGGGUUGUAAACUCCUUUCGACAGGGACGCGGUACCUGUAUAAGAAGCACCGGCUAACUACGUGCCAGCAGCCGCGGUAAUAC